rnacentral:rRNA from 1 species
AACGAACGCUGGCGGCAGGCUUAACACAUGCAAGUCGAACGGUUGCAGCAAUGCAGCAGUGGCAGACGGGUGAGUAACACGUGGGAACCUUCCUAGGGGUACGGAACAACUCAGGGAAACUUGAGCUAAUACCGUAUACGUCCGUGAGGAGAAUGAUUUAUCGCCCUUAGACGGGCCCGCGUCGGAUUAGCUAGUUGGUGGGGUAACGGCCUACCAAGGCGACGAUCCGUAGCUGAUCUUAGAGGAUGAUCAGCCACACUGGGACUGAGACACGGCCCAGACUCCUACGGGAGGCAGCAGUGGGGAAUCUUGGACAAUGGGCGCAAGCCUGAUCCAGCCAUGCCGCGUGAGUGAAGAAGGUCUUCGGAUUGUAAAGCUCUUUUGCCAGGGACGAUAAUGACGGUACCUGGAGAAUAAGCCCCGGCAAACUUCGUGCCAGCAGCCGCCGUAAUAC